rnacentral:rRNA from 1 species
CAGCCGUAAACUAUGCGCGUUAGGUGUACUGGUGACCACGAGUCACCGGGGUGCCGAAGGGAAACCGUGAAACGUGCCGCCUGGGAAGUACGGUCGCAAGGCUGAAACUUAAAGGAAUGGGCGGGGGAGCACCACAACGGGUGGAGCCUGCGGUUUAAUUGGACUCAACGCCGGAAAUCUCACCGGAUAGGACAGACAUAUGAUAGUCGGGCUGAAGACUCUACUUGAUGAUCUGAGAGGAGGUGCAUGGCGUCAGUGACU